rnacentral:rRNA from 1 species
UAAUACGUAGGAGGCGAGCGUUAUCCGGAUUUAUUGGGCGUAAAGAGGGCGUAGGCGGCUUUUCAAGUCGGAUGUAAAAUCUCCCGGCUCAACUGGGAGGGAUCAUUCGAUACUGCUGAGCUAGAGGGCAACAGAGGGAGGUGGAAUUCCCGGUGUAGUGGUGAUAUGCGUAGAUAUCGGGAGGAACACCAGUGGCGAAGGCGGCCUCCUGGGCUGUUCCUGACGCUGAGGCCCGAAAGCGUGGGUAGCGAACAGGAUUAGAUACCCUGGUAGUCCACGCUGUCAACGAUGGAUACUAGGUAUGGGGAGUAUCGACCCUCUCCGUGCCGAAGCUAACGCUUUAAGUAUCCCGCCUGGGGACUACGGCCGCAAGGCUA